UACGAAGGGGGCUAGCGUUGCUCGGAAUCACUGGGCGUAAAGCGCACGUAGGCGGAUUGCUAAGUCAGGGGUGAAAUCCUGGAGCUCAACUCCAGAACUGCCUUUGAUACUGGCGAUCUUGAGUCCGGGAGAGGUGAGUGGAACUGCGAGUGUAGAGGUGAAAUUCGUAGAGAUCGGGAGGAACAUCAGUGGCGAAGGCGGCCCUCUGGACCAGUACUGACGCUGAGGCACGAAAGCGUGGGGAGCAAACAGG
rnacentral:rRNA from 1 species